rnacentral:lncRNA from 1 species
GCAUAACUUUUAUUUUUCGGCCUAAUUGUUUUGUGGCCCAUUUUCCUCGAUGUAUAAAAACGAAAUUCUGACAGAGUCAGGGAUUAUUCAUCAUUCACGAAAAUAAAACAAACCCUAGCAGCCACUGCCUCAUGGAGAACUAAACAAUUAUUUUCGAUCCAUUGGUGUAUGGAAUUUUGUUCUUGAUUCUUGAGGUUCGGUUUUAUUAUCAAUUCAUAUGUUUAUGCUUAUCAUAUA